rnacentral:rRNA from 1 species
CCUACGGGAGACAGCAGUGGGGAAUAUUGCACAAUGGGGGAAACCCUGAUGCAGCGACGCCGCGUGAAGGAAGAAGUAUUUCGGUAUGUAAACUUCUAUCAGCAGGGAAGAAAAUGACGGUACCUGACUAAGAAGCCCCGGCUAACUACGUGCCAGCAGCCGCGGUAAUACGUAGGGGGCAAGCGUUAUCCGGAUUUACUGGGUGUAAAGGGAGCGUAGGCGGUUUAGCAAGUCAGAAGUGAAAGCCCGGGGCUCAACUCCGGUACUGCUUUUGAAACUGUUGAACUAGAUGGCAGGAGAGGUAAGUGGAAUUCCUAGUGUAGCGGUGAAAUGCGUAGAUAUUAGGAGGAACACCAGUGGCGAAGGCGGCUUACGGGACUGUAAAUGACGCUGAGGCUCGAAAGCGUGGGGAGCAAACAGGAUUAGAUACCCGGGUAGUC